rnacentral:lncRNA from 1 species
GGGCUUCGUUUUGAUUUAAUUCUGGCUUGGGAGCUAUAUGUUGUGACUAACAGGUGUUCCUACGGUGAAAAAGUAGAGGAGGCUGCUGAUGGCUGUUUUAGACGUGGGUGCUGGAAGCUUGGGUUCCGGGGGCUGGCUUGGCAGCUCCUCCGCAGCUGUCUGUUGGUUACUCGCCUCCAAUGCGGAGCUGGUGGGGCUCCUGCUGCGCUGAAGCCCUGGGCCUGUUUCCAUCACAGCGUCUUGACUACACAGCCUGGUGCAGAGGAGCUGCUAAGUUACUAGGUAUUGAACAAGCAUUGAUGAAAAUGCAGUGACAGAACGUCGUCGGACGUGGUUAUCAACUGCCAGCGUCGCUGUUAAUCGUCGGAAUCAAUAUAUGUCAAUAAUGAUCGUGUCGAUCCCAGGAAAAAUCUCCUGAGCCUCCUUUUCAUGGCCAGGCGCCAGAGCUGAACUCCGUUCCUGAUGGAAUGGCUCUGCACAUCGCGAAUAGUUACAUAAAUGCAAGGCGAAGCACCCGUGGGAUACAUUUGAUGCUGGUAGAACCGCAGAACCAAAGAUCAGUCGCAUUCAGGGGGGAGGGCGUGGAGACAGGAUGCUGUCACAUACCCUUGACAGGAAUAUAAACGGGCUCAAACUUCCUGAAGAGCCAUUCGGCUAAACCUACCACAGUUUAAAAUGCACACAAUCUGUGGCCAAGGAAUUCUACUUCUGGUACCUAAAUUACAAAAAUAACACUUACAUGGACAAAGAUAUAGAUAGGUAGAUAGACAGACAGAUGAUUUUUGCAGUAUUAAAUGCAUAAAACCAAUAUACUGGAAAUGUCUAUCAGUAUGGUAUAGCUAAAUAAUUAGUCUUGGUUUGCCCACAGAACAAAAGUCCACAUACACAUGGAGAAGAAUGUUUGUGAACUGGCAUGUAAUUUUUUCUAAGUUAUAGUGUUUUGUGGUACAAACAAGUUAUAAUCCAGGGUAUAGAGUAUGCUUAUAUAUUUUUAAGGAAUGAACUAGACUGCGUAAAACCCAAGAAGAAACUGGAAAGUUAGUUAUGAUCAAACAUGAAGAAUUACCACUGGUCCUGGGGAAUGGAUUUAAAUGUGUAUGGUUUCGACUUUUUAUUGAUUAUUUCACAUUUUUAAGUGGUGGUAUUAUGUGUGGUUUUAAUUGAUUUUGCAUUUGUAAGAAAUUUACGUUAAACGCAUCACAUUUAUUUAAAAACAGCUUGAAGUGUAUGAGACCUCUCUUGGUACGUCACCAACCAAAUGAAUACAAGAAGUGCAGCCAGGCCCAUCUAAACCAUCCCCGCCCGGGCCGUUUGGGCUGUAUUCCCAGGCUUGCGCCUUAAUUGGCUGCUGGCUGGAAUUGAUUAGCCAUAUACCAGUAAAGUGGAAGCCUUGCGAAAAGGGUUUGGUAGAUCCAUAUAAUUUAUAUGGAGAAUCAUUUACGUAAACUUCACCAAUCUCAGUCAUACAUAUACCUUGUAACUCUGAAAGUAGGACCACUCUCAGUACUUCCCAAAGAUGGAUGAACUCUCAGAAUUAUGUCUUUGUCCUAAAAAUGAUUUCCUCAGCUAUUAGCUAAAUUUCUGCCAAAAUGUCAUUAUACUAAAAUGGCGAGGUCCUGCCUCCAUGGAGACGGGAAUAAUGACUCCGGCUCUUUGUGAAUAGGAAUUGAAAUGCUGGGUUCUCGUCUUUGUUAGAAGCCAUUCCAUUCGAGGUCCAUGAAUGAGAAGUCUGCCUCAUUUUUACCAUGCUGAUUUUUAAGAAAGAGUCACAUUUUAAAACAUCGUAUUAGUAAAUGAAAUCGUAAUGACAAGAAAAAUGAUGAAAUCAUAAAAUAAGAAAGUAAGCCCUAUUUUAAAAGAAUUAAUCUCCUGCUUUAAAUAAAAUAAAACCUUGCAUUGACCUAAGAACUUGGUUAAUGAGGCAUUUGCCAAGUUGUUUAGUUUUUAUGGCUUGCCAAGUGUGUAAUUACUUUGCUUGGCACUUUUAGAAAAUGUUAUUAUAAACCCUUCUUCCAAAGAAAAUUAUGCAACAUAAUUAUUAACUCUAAAAUUACACACACAUUUAUCUGCUAGUAUUCGCUUUCAUGCUUCAGCUGUCACUUAAACGUCGCCUGCCUGUUCACGCACCUGUUCACAAUGAUGUUUUCAAUGUGUUUCUACUAAUUUCCAUUAUAUGAUAGAAAGCCAAACACUGGGAAAGAGAAAGUAGCAAAAACUAGGCCUUAAUAGAAAAUCACUUCCCAUAGCAUCCGAGAUCCGGGGAGCAUUCACACCGAGAGAGGCCCUUUGAAUCCGUGUCCAUCCUGAUCAAGUUAUUCGUAGCCUCUCUUGUACAUUUUCGCCCGCUUUGAAUAUUUCAACCAGAAACAACGGCACUUGUGACUCAGACACACAAAGGCAGGCUGGAUCAUGUCCGAGUUAGAUUCUGGUCUUGAUUUUUCUUGGCAGUUGCCUCUGAAGAGAAAGAAAAGAAGAGAACAUGUCCAAAGGACAAAGUUUCGUACAAACGAAAACUUUGACGUCCAGGUGCUCUUCUCACAGAUGUCUUUGAAUUUCCUUUAUGUGAAGCAUCCGCUUUCUUAAACCAGAAGCUCCCGAGGGCAGCGCUGGGUGUCCCAACUGCCCAGCCUCGGCACCUGCUCGAGCUGUGUCUCCUCUGAUGCUCAGGGAUUGUUUAUUAAUUGGCUGAAUGACCGUCUUCCCUUUCGGCUUCAGUUCGUCGGUGAUGGGAACAUAGAGACUGUAGAGACAAAUUGAAUUAUGCCCCCCCAUUUUCUGUUAGAGGACCCCGGAACGUAACUGUAUUUGGAGAAGGGACCUUGAGAGAGGGGAUUAAGGUCAAACGGGGCCAUGCGGAUGACGCGAUCCUGUGUGGCUGAUGGUCUUCAUAGAAUCAGGCGAUUAGGACACAGACAUGUGCUCAGAGACACAUGGGGGCCGACGGUCAUCCGAAGGCAAGGAGAGAGGCCUCCGGAGGAACAAACCCCACGAUACUGCGAUCUUGGACUUCCGGCCUCCAGAACUGUGAGCAGAUGCAUUUCUCCCCUAGUCUGUGGUCCUUUGUCACAGCAGCUCUAACACCCUAAUACUUUGCUCGCUUAGUAGAGAACUCUUUAGGAGUAGCUGUGGAAUAGUUUGGGCUAGUUCCACCGAAGCUUCAUGUUGAAUUCCAAGACAGAAGAGAAAUGGACUCAACGGUGGCAGCAUGGCAGGACCUGUCCAUCAGAAAGUGCCACCCCCAGGGGUCUCCAGGGUUCAGGAGGGCACCUGGCUGGAUGGUCAUGUCCAGGGAGACUGGAAAGCCACAGAGUCAACGUCUCUGGGCAGUCGUGGCUUUCUUCGUAAGAGACUGUCCAGCCUGGACAGUAGCGGACAGCUUUCCUAUCAUAUUUUAAUCCAUUUCCAUUUUACAAACGUCCCCAAAUGUCAAGUUAAGGAGCCACUGAAAAUUGUUGGAAGUGUCAUAAUUACAGUUCAAAGGAGAAUACUGAAAACGCACUGAUCUGUGCGCGUGGACGCUGGCCUCUGUCAUCUUCCUGGAGAGGGUCAGGCUCCAGAUGUGGGGUUGGCUGCCCUUUUCCUGGGGAGAUGUGACCGGGGAGCACGCGCCGGCCAGUCCUCGUGGCGCCCAUGCCAGCAAAGGGCCCGUGGUUCCCACGUCGCUCUUGGCAGAGAAACACAUCUUACUGAAGCUUUACAUGCUGAACUAGGACGUCUGUCACUCAGAUAAUUACGCAACCGUGCUUAGAGCUCUUGAGGCACAGUGCUGGGGAGCUAUGUCCGCUUUUACUGACCCAACCAACACUCCUAAACGGAUUGCUUCUUUUGCUUCUGGUUUAGCAGUAGAGGUUCGUAUUUACUUCUCUGGGGAAAUAGGACCGAAAUAAAAAAGCUCUGAAAACACAACCUUUUUUUGCUGUUGUUCUUUCUGGCCACUAAGAGUUUAUCAGUAAGGACCCACCUUGACCAUACCCUCAGGUGUUUUAUCAGGUAGAAUUUGGCUGCGGGAUGGACGCCUCCUUAGACAAUCCAAGAGAACUCACACGCAAAUCUGCAUGUUGCCUUCUUAGAAAACAUUUUUAGGUCCUAGUUUAAGGAAAGAGUGAGACAUAUUUUCACUUUUACACCUUCUGUUCCCAAAUGAAAACAUUGACUUGAAAGCCAGGCUUGCAAACAGCUUCCCACUUAAACAAUACUGACAUCUUCCCAGUGAUGCCAGAAGUUAUGCGUAAGAUGUAAGGAUUCAGGUAUCCAUAAGCACAUAGAAACUAUGGAAAUUCACCAGACAAAAUCAGUGAAGCAUAUUACUUUUCAAUUCAAGAUGAUGUGUUAAAGAAGAAUAACAACAAACUCCGUUGGCUCAUCCAGUCAGCCCUUGUAGAAAUACCAAAUUAAGCAACCGCAAAAGAAGAGGGUUCUGCUCAUUAUGCACUGGGUAAAAAAGAAGGUGGACAUGAGACAAAUGUCAGAGUUUGUUCAUUGGGGUUUGUUCAUUGGGGUUUGUUCAUUGGGGUUUGUUCGUUGGGGUUUGUUCGUUGGGGUUUGUUCAUUGGGGACACCGUUCUCCAGGAAGAAGCAACCCUCCAAGAUAACGGCCGAGUUUAUUAUGGCGGAGUGAGUUCACAUGAACGGAGGAGCUUUCAAAUAGGGAGCACUAGGAGCUCCGAUUGCGGCUCAGCAGGCUUAGAACCCGAUGCUACCUCUGCGAGGAUGUGGACUGGGUUCCUGGCCUCGCACGGUGGGUCCAGGAUCUGGCACUGCCUGGGAACUUCCAUAUACUGCAGGCAGCCGUAGAAAGAAAAAUGAAAGUAAGGGGGAAAAAAAACGGACCCCUAGAGCCUUGUCAUCACAGAUCUCACGUCUGUAAACCCGCAGUGCGCCUUUCCCUUUGCCAAAUGUGUUAUUUUUUGCCUAGCGAUUAACUGGAGGAAGAAGGCAGAGUCAGGCACAUAUUAAUCUCCAGAUUCCAAUCAAGUGGUGUGGCACUCUACCUGGCCAGGCUCGCUUCCAUUUCCACUUGGUGAGAGGACGUUCUCUUAGAUUUGUAUCUUACUGUUCUUUUUUAUUAUGUCUCAAAAGCCUGCCGUGUGGGGGGAAGAAUCAUGCUGCUUCUCAGCUAGACUUGCUCUAAUAUAAUCCCAGCCCUGGAAGGGUCUUGCAUUAACGCUUCUUAAAGCUCGUCGGUUUUUGCUGUCUAACUCCAGUCAGGAACGAAAAGAGGUGCUGUUUCCUUGCGUCCAUAGGUAUGGAGCAAGUCUACCUGGAAACCCACUGUCUACAGUAAACAAGUUAUAUAAUGUGCUUAUGAUUCUGGGAGAGCUUCUUUGUUUAAUCAGCAUAAUACUUUUCCAAGUCUGUCCGACCAGCAAAUGGUGUUUCAGGCGCCCGGGGAGCACUUGCAGCCACUCUUCACAAAAGCCACCUUUGCCGAAAUGUGCCUGAUUUCCAGAAUCACGUGGAGAUGAAAGGAUUUCCAGGGAAGACACCAAAACUUGCUUUCCACUGGAGGAAACGAUUCUGUGCCUCCAAAGUUUCGUGAUAAACUGACCUUCGGCCGUCCCCACAGAGGAAGGCGAGGAAGUAAGCAGACCUCCUGGGGUGGAGUCAGGGCCUGGGCUUGAGGCAGAACCUGAACCAGGGAGGGGCAGAGGGGGCUGGGGAGGCCCGGCUGCGCGGUGCUGGGCGUCUUGAGGUCAGAGCGAGGCGCCCUCCUGGAGGAGCCCCUCUGUGGCCUCAUCUGACCCACUGAGCGGAGAUGGUUCAGCCACCAGUGUGGUUCCUUUUGUCCCCUAGCUGUGGGCACCUCUCACCUGCACAGCAGUGUCAGGAGCAAAGCAGGACCUCCUAAGGGGCAGGUCAGCAGUGUGCUCGGACUAGACGUGGCUCUAAACAAGUGGGACUAAAAUGCAGCUUUUAAAGUUUGCACAUAAGAGGGGAGUUCCUGCUGUGGCUCAGAGGGUUAAGGACCCGACGCUGUCUCUGUGAAGAUGCCGCUUUGAUCCCUGGUCUCACUCAGUGAGUAGGAUGCAGAUGUGGCUCAGAUCUGGUGUGGCUGUGGCUGUGGCCUAACCCACAGCUGCAGCUCUGAUUCGGCCCCUGGCCCUGGAACUUGCAUGUGCUGCAGGUAAAUUAAAAAAGAAUGUUUGCAUCGAAGCUGUUUAAUCACGUUCAGGAGCAUCCUCGCCUGCUUCCCCCAUGUAACUGAUUGCCUGCGGCUCAGAUCAGCCCUUUCCAUGUGAUUCCCAGUUUCUCAGACUCUACUUCCUCUCCCCACGGUGGCGCCGGGGGUGGGGGUUGGGGGUGGCGGUGCUGAUGGCCCAGGCAGAGGAGGCUUCUGAGCGGGUGUGGACCGGGGCCACCUCCUGGGACUUGGCUCACCUCUGUGGAGGUGCUGCCCCUUGUGCUUGACCAGACUGGGCCAGUCCCUACCAGCCUCUGUGGCUGCCGAAGGCACAGCCAGGAAUGCCCUGGUCUGUCUUUUCUUGGCUCACUCGGGCCCAAAAAUCCUUCCUGUGAGCCCUGCGGUCUCUCUGGCCCUCUGGGUUCUGGAGCCUCCUUGGCUGGAUGGUUCACCCUGCAUCUCUCUGUCGUAUCGUCACUUCUGAACACCUUCUGGGGCCAUGGAGAUGCCAAGGGGAUCCUCGGCCUCCUGGCCUC